rnacentral:rRNA from 1 species
AGGGCCCCCCCAGGAGUGGAGCCUGCGGUUUAUUUUGACUCAACACGGGAAAACUCCCCCGGCCGGGACCCCGUAAGGAUUGACAGAUUGAUAGUUUUUUCUGAUUUCGGGGGGGGGGGGGGCAUGGCCGUUCUUAGUUGGGGGAGCGAUUUGUCGGGUUAAUUCCAAUAACAAACAAAACUCUGGCCUAUUAAAAAGACGGAGUAUGUUGCAGUGUACCGCGCUUCUUAGAGGGACAAGCGGCGUCUAGCCGCAUGAAAUAGAGCAAUAACAGGUCUGUGAUGCCCUUAGAUGUCCGGGGCUGCACGCGCGGCUACACUGAAAAAAUCAGCGGUGCGAGUCCCUUGCCCCAAAAGAAUGGGAAAACCCAAGAAAAUUUCUUUGGGGCUUGGGAUAGGAAAUUGCAAUUAUUUCCCUUAAACGAGAAAUUCCCAGUAAAUGCGGCUCAUAAGCUCGUGUUGAUUACGUCCCUGCCCUUUGCACACACCGCCGGCCGCUACUACCGAUUGGACGACUUAA